GAUGAACGCUGGCGGCGUGCCUAAUACAUGCAAGUCGAGCGAACAGACGAGGAGCUUGCUCCUCUGACGUUAGCGGCGGACGGGUGAGUAACACGUGGAUAACCUACCUAUAAGACUGGGAUAACUUCGGGAAACCGGAGCUAAUACCGGAUAAUAUAUUGAACCGCAUGGUUCAAUAGUGAAAGACGGUUUUGCUGUCACUUAUAGAUGGAUCCGCGCCGCAUUAGCUAGUUGGUAAGGUAACGGCUUACCAAGGCGACGAUGCGUAGCCGACCUGAGAGGGUGAUAGGCCACAAUGGAGCUGAGACGCGGUACAGACUCCUACGGGAGGCAGCAGUGGGGAAUAUUGGACAAUGGGCGCAAGCCUGAUCCAGCUAUACAGAGUGGGUGAAGAAGGCCUUCGGGUUGUAAAGCCUUUUUGUUGGGAAAGAACAGCAGCAGGUGAAUACCCCGCUGUUCUGACGGGACCCAAAGAAUAAGCACCGGCUAACUUCGUG
rnacentral:rRNA from 1 species